rnacentral:rRNA from 1 species
AAUAGAUACCCAGGUAGUCCACGCCCUAAACGAUGCAUAUUUGGUGUGGGCAGUUCAUUCUGUCCGUGCCGGAGCUAACGCGUUAAAUAUGCCGCCUGGGGAGUACAGUCGCAAGGCUGAAACUCAAAGGAAUUGACGGGGGCCCGCACAAGCGGUGGAGCAUGUGGAUUAAUUCGUCACUAACCGAAGAACCUUACCCAGGUUUGACAUCGAGGGAAAGCCUAUGAAAGUAGGCCCUCCCGCAAGGGACCCGAAGACAGGUGUUGCAUGGCUGUCGUCAGCUCGUGUCGUGAGAUGUUGGGUUAAGUCCCGCAACGAGCGCAACCCUCACCGUAUGUUGCCAGCGUAAAGUCGGGAACUCUUACGGAACUGCCCGUGCAAGCGGGAGGAAGGUGGGGAUGACGUCAAGUCGGCAUGGCCCUUACGCCUGGGGCUUCACACAUGCUACAAUGGACGGUAACAAAGGGGAGCAAGACCGCGAGGUGGAGCGAAUCCCAAAAAUCCGUCCUCAGUUCGGAUUGCAGGCUGCGACUCG